UACGAAGGGGGCUAGCGUUGUUCGGAAUCACUGGGCGUAAAGCGCACGUAGGCGGAUCUUUAAGUCAGGGGUGAAAUCCCGAGGCUCAACCUCGGAACUGCCUUUGAUACUGGGGAUCUCGAGUCCGGGAGAGGUGAGUGGAACUGCGAGUGUAGAGGUGAAAUUCGUAGAUAUUCGCAAGAACACCAGUGGCGAAGGCGGCUCACUGGCCCGGAACUGACGCUGAGAUGCGAAAGCGUGGGGAGCAAACAGG
rnacentral:rRNA from 1 species